CUAAAGGGUCCGUAGGCGGGCCAAUAAGUCAGUGGUGAAAUCCUAUGCAAACGAUAGAACUGCCAUUGAAACUGUUGGUCUUGAAUUAUUUUGAAGUUGGCGGAAUGAGUAGUGUAGCGGUGAAGUGCAUAGAUAUUACUCAGAACACCGAUUGCGAAGGCAGCUGACUAAGAAUAUAUUGACGCUGAUGGACGAAAGCGUAGGUAGCGAGCAGGAUUAGAUACCCUGGUAGUCUACGCAGUAAACGAUGGAUACUCGUUGUCGGGAAAAUUGAGACUCGGUGGCUAAGCGAAAGUGAUAAGUAUCCCACCUGGGGAGUACGAUCGCAAGAUUGAAACUCAAAGGAAUUGACGGGGGCCCGCACAAGCGGUGGAGCAUGUGGUUUAAUUCGAUGAUACGCGAGGAACCUUACCUGGGCUUAAAUGUAGAUUGACAGGACUGGAAACAGUUUUUCCUUCGGGCAAUUUACAAGGUGCUGCAUGGUUGUCGUCAGCUCGUGCCGUGAGGUGUCAGGUUAAGUCCUAUAACGAGCGCAACCCCUAUCGAUAGUUGCUAGCAGGUAAUGCUGAGGACUCUAUUGAGACUGCCGGUGCAAACCGUGAGGAAGGUGGGGAUGACGUCAAAUCAUCACGGCCCUUACGUCCAGGGCCACAC
rnacentral:rRNA from 1 species